AUUGAACGCUGGCGGCAGGCCUAACACAUGCAAGUCGCACGAGUGGCGGACGGGUGAGUAAUGUCUGGGAAACUGCCUGAUGGAGGGGGAUAACUACUGGAAACGGUAGCUAAUACCGCAUACCAUCAGAUGUGCCCAGUUGGGUUGAGCUAGUUGGUGGGGUAACGGCUCACCAAGGCGACGAUCCCUAGCUGGUCUGGGAGGAUGAUCGGCCACACGUGAACUGAGACACGGUCCAGACGCCUACGGGAGGCAGCAGUGGGGAAUAUUGGACAAUGGGCGCAAGCCUGAUGGAGCCAUGCCGCGUGUAUGAAGAAGGCCUUCGGGUUGUAAAGUACUUUCAGCGGGGAGGCGUGACCCGCAGAAGAAGCACCGGCUAACUCCGUGCCAGCAGCCGCUGUAAUAC
rnacentral:rRNA from 1 species